AAGUCGUAACAAGGUUUCCGUAGGUGAACCUGCGGAAGGAUCAUUAACACAUCCAAUUUCCAUUUUCAUACCUAGAGCACCAGUACGAUACCGCGAGAUGGUGGGACGAUUAGCACUAUGGUUUGAGAGCCUCUUCCUUCUUGGAAGGGGCUGGUGCGUCGGCCUGCUGCCGGGGCGCAACCGGGCUCCUCUUUUUCAAGGGGCUGCUCGGAAGCGUGCAUAGCCGGCCACAAGCCUAUCGACGGUAAUUCAGCUUCCCCCAUGGCUGGUCAUUUUUUUCUCUUCUCAACAAACCUGCAACUUUUUACUGAUGAUCGGCUUCGGAUCGAGAGGAGCAAUCCUUUCUCUGAGGCUCUCGGAUUAUUUUUCAACAAUCCAAAACACAACUCUUAACAGCGGAUAUCUCGGUUCUC
rnacentral:misc_RNA from 1 species